rnacentral:rRNA from 1 species
AUUGAACGCUGGCGGCAUGCCUUACACAUGCAAGUCGAACGGCAGCGGGCCUUCGGGUGCCGGCGAGUGGCGAACGGGUGAGUAAUGCAUCGGAACGUGCCAUUGAGUGGGGGAUAACGUAGCGAAAGUUGCGCUAAUACCGCAUAUUCUGUGAGCAGGAAAGCAGGGGACCGCAAGGCCUUGCGCUCUUUGAGCGGCCGAUGUCAGAUUAGCUAGUUGGUCAGGUAACGGCUUACCAAGGCGACGAUCUGUAGCGGGUCUGAGAGGAUGAUCCGCCACACUGGAACUGAGACACGGUCCAGACUCCUACGGGAGGCAGCAGUGGGGAAUUUUGGACAAUGGGGGCAACCCUGAUCCAGCCAUGCCGCGUGAGUGAAGAAGGCC